GUCCUAAAGAUUUAAUUUUAGGUUUAAUCUGCCCAAUGAAUAUUAAAUGGCUGCAGUAAUUUGACUGUACUACGGUGGCCUUAUCAUUUGUUUUUUAAUUAAAAACUAGUAUAAAAGAUUGUAUGAAAAAUAAACUUUAUUAAAUUAAAUUAAUUUAAUUUAAUUUUUAAGUUAAAAAGCUUAAAUAAUAUUAUAGGACGAGAAGACCCUAUAGAACUUUAUAUAUAAAUUUUAAUUUUUUUAUUAAUAAAAAAAAAUUAAAAUUUAUAUAUUUAAUUGGGGCGAUUAAAAAAUUAUUUUAACUUUUUUUUAUUUAUUCCAUUAAUUUAUGUGAAUUGGAGCCAGCGGAGGAUUAAAAGAUUAAGUUACCUUAGGGAUAACAGCGUAAUUUUUUUGGAGAGUUCUUAUUGAUAAAAAAGUUUGCGA
rnacentral:rRNA from 1 species